UACGGGGGGAGCAAGCGUUGUUCGGAUUUACUGGGCGUAAAGGGCGCGUAGGCGGGAUGGCAAGUCGGUCGUGAAAUCCCUCGGCUCAACCGAAGAACGUCGGCCGAUACUGCCGUUCUUGAGGGAUGCAGAGGAGAUUGGAAUCCCCGGUGUAGCGGUGAAAUGUGUAGAGAUCGGGAGGAACACCGGUGGCGAAGGCGGGUCUCUGGGCAUCUCCUGACGCUGAGGUGCGAAAGCGUGGGGAGCAAACAGG
rnacentral:rRNA from 1 species